rnacentral:rRNA from 1 species
AUUGAACGCUGGCGGCAGGCCUAACACAUGCAAGUCGAGCGGCAGCACGGGUACUUGUACCUGGUGGCGAGCGGCGGACGGGUGAGUAAUGCCUAGGAAUCUGCCUGGUAGUGGGGGAUAACGCUCGGAAACGGACGCUAAUACCGCAUACGUCCUACGGGAGAAAGCAGGGGACCUUCGGGCCUUGCGCUAUCAGAUGAGCCUAGGUCGGAUUAGCUAGUUGGUGAGGUAAUGGCUCACCAAGGCGACGAUCCGUAACUGGUCUGAGAGGAUGAUCAGUCACACUGGAACUGAGACACGGUCCAGACUCCUACGGGAGGCAGCAGGUGGGGAAUAUUGG